CUGCAGGUAUCUUAAAUGUUAAAGUAUAAGACUCUUAAUCUUAUGAUGUUGGAUAAAUGAACUCUGUAGA
rnacentral:tRNA from 1 species